rnacentral:lncRNA from 1 species
CGUUAUCACUUUUUCUUUUGAUUAAAACUAGGACCUGUUUAUCACUGAAAAGAAGUGCCCAUCUGAGGUUCUUCCUAUCAGCACAGGAGGCAGAGACAAGAUUUCUAAUGAACCAUUCAGUACAAGCACUUUGAAACUACCUAAUCACCAACAGAUUUCACCUGCAACAGACUUAGGUAAAUACUCAGUUAUGAAGAGCAUUAGGAGCUGCAGAAUGGGUACUGUAAAGUUUUUACAAACCAGUUUUUGAAAUGAGAUGCUUCUAGCUCAGGAGAGCAUUGAAGGCACAUUUAAAUCCUCCUGAAAACUCUAAGCCAGUGCUUAAGUGCUUUUUGAAAUCAUCGCUGGGGAACACAUCAUUUCUUAACUGCUUUGAAGAAAGUGCUGUAAUGUCAGUGCAUCAGCAGAGGAGGAAGUGCUACUUCUGGGUAAAAUUCAGCUUACGAUGGAAGAGUCACAGUGCUAAUGAUGGAACCAGAAAAUAAUCUGAAGCUUUUUGCCAAACAUACUGAUGUGAUGAAUGAAUUAACCAAGGAGCAUAAUACCUCAUUGCCAACUGAGAGCAAAUCCUUGAAGUUCAGUGCUAUUCCACUUAAAAUAUUUCAGUUGGAUCUCAAACCAAGAUGUGCAGAAGAAUUGUUACCACUGAAGAAGCUGGAUUUUUUGUCAAGAAGGAGUCUCAUGAUUCCUUUGCUUCAGGGAAAUUUAAAUGAAGAAACGUUCAGUUUGGAGGUUUGCCUAUUCUACUUGGAAAAUGUUAAAAAAUGGGUUGAAGAAAACAAGAAGAGCCAGAAAAGACUGCAAAGGAAAAUUGCCAUAUUUUUAGUCAAGUUUAUAAAUUUUUCCCUGGGACUUUUUGACAAAUGACUGCUCACCAACUUUGUGAGAAUUUCUCCUGGACAUUGCUCAGAAACUUCUGGCAUUUUGCCAUGCAGGUUUGCCUGCUAGAAUUUCUCAAAUGUUUUUUUUUAUUUUUCAUGGGAGGAGGCUGUUUUCUCAAGGAGUGUUGGUGCCUUUUCCAUCCAGUCUCUCUCACUUUUCUUUUCCUAAGUACAGACUUGCUUACAUUCAGAUUAAUUUUGGGCAAGGUCAGGAGUAGUGAAAUGCCCAUAAGCAUAAUGCUGUUGCUGCUGUUUUCACAGGCCAUCUCUGAGAGCAGCUGAAGUUGCAUGUUUUUCUGGCUCUGUUGAGAAGUAAUUUGGAAUAGAGCUCCUUUGACUCAAGCAUUGAAGCCAGACCUAAAUGCUUGAGUGAGAUUUCCACACUAGCAUAAACUGAAGCACAUCCAAACAUCUGCUGCUCAACAUGCCUGAGAGUUAUCUUUCACCCUGCUGCCAGAUUCCUUGGUGCCACAUAUAGAUUUGUAGUCCACUCUGUGGAUUUCUUUUCCUUUUUCCUCUGCUGUGCUCUUCUGAUCAUCCUCUAAUGGACCUGAACCUCUGUCAAAUACAUCUCUUUGCCACUGUGGGCAAACCAUUUGUCUUGAAUGGUGUAUAUCUGCUUGUUUUUUCCCAGAGAACUCUCUUUCUGACUACUAAUACAUGGUUUCUGGUACUGGAGCAUGUGCAGGACAGCAAUGUUCUUGUAGACUGGAGCUCAUUAAGGAUAUUGGUUUGGGGUGAACUAUGGUAACUGGAUUGAACUGUUGCUCCCAGAUCCCUGUGUCUACAUGACUUUGUUCCAAGGAAUUGCUGAGACAACCAAGGAAAGAGUGUAGCUGCUCUAGGCUACCUUUUGCAGUUGAUGAGGUGAGCAGAACAUCAGAGAAUGGUCUGGGGGUGUCCUGUAGUGCUCUUAGCUGUUUUUGUUGACUCACCUCCUGAUGUGGCUGCCUUUGGUAGUUGCAGAGAUGUGCCUGGGAGGGAUGCAGACAGAUGAGGCAACAGGCAGAGUAGAGAGCUUCAGAUGAGUUAUUUGCAUCCAGACAAGGAAAGGGAAAAUAAAAGGACCUUGUGUCACAGUUCAGGGGCUGUCGGGGUUGUAUCAUACUGUCACUGUAGAGUUCAGUGGAUGACAGUUGUUUUGCUUUAAAAAUGGGAGAGUGAACAGUUUUAUUUAACUAAGAGUUAUGGAGAAGUCCAGUAUCCAUCUGACAACAAUCAUGGCAAGAGAAAAGGCUGUUUUUUGCUGCAUGAGCUGUAUGUGAUUAUAGUUCUCUUCUUCCUUUAUCUAUGCAGGUAGCAUACAUGUCAGCACGUAGCUCCAAAACCUACCAUCUUCAUGAGUUGUGUUUAUAGUUAUACACUUAUUAAAUGAUUGUGUGCACUCGUACUCAGACUAUUAUAAAUCCAUUACUUUCCUGAGGCCAUAGGAAAUGGUUUUAAAAUGUGAAGCUUUUCUGCAGGGAAUUGAGAGAGAGCAAUACUAAAGCAGUGUACUUGGUUCACACAGAUCAAUGUAGUGCAAUAACUGGGAUGAGAAACCAAGCUUAAAACAUUACCAAUGUGAUUGGAUGAAAGCUUAACAUGGCGUUGAGUAAUGUCUCAUUAUAAGUAAAAUCUCUUAAACCACCUUUGGGGGGGAAGACAAAGCAAACUGCUUAGUAGCAAAUCAUAAGAUAGAAAUGAUGGUGCUUGCACUUGAAACUGAACUCUGGGUAGUACAAGCACAGUAGCAGUGAAACAUCAAGUUUGGCUGCCUUAUUUUCAAAAUGAUGGUGGUGAUGUUAGCCCAAGUCUUGGGAUGGGAGAUAUCAGGAGGUUUUAGAUAUUUUUGAUCUUUCCAUGAGAACUUUCAUGAAG